UGGGAGGGCGAUACCCAGGCAGGCCUCAGCAGUGUCCUGUCUGCCACAGAUCCUCCCUACAUUAUACUUGCCUUUCGAUGACCGGGGCGAACUGAGAGAAAUCGCAACGGACAGAUACGAGGCUGACAUCU